CCCUAGCCUCCCUCCCUCUCCCCCUACCCAUCAGCCGACCCCUCACCCUCCCUCUCUCCCUCUCUCCACAAGCAUCGCCCCUCUCUCCCCACCUCCCCUUCACGACUCCUCUCUCUCAUCGGUGUUAGGCACCAGCGUUGAUGCAGCGGUGGUGGCGGACCUACAGGUCCUCAGUUCGCAUCAUCCUGUGCACCCUCCCCAGAUUCCAGCGGGCUGCUCCUCAGAUCCCGGCGAUGCAGCGGCGGCGGCGGUCCUACAACGAAGAAUGGGUGUUGGUGGCCUGAGGACUGGGUGGUGCAGUACACAAUAACCUAGGAUGCAAGGCAAUAACGAGGAGUCGAGGAGGGCGGCGGAUGCAGAGAUGGAGGGGGACAGAGAACACGGCGAAGGACAGGAGGGGUGCAAGAGAACCAAAUGCUGAAAAUGGUCUGGACUUGGAGAAAUAUUCCUGGACUCAAGAGUUGAUAGAGGUCUUGGAUUAUAGUUCCGGCAGGCUAUAGUUCUUGGAUUGACAAGUCAGCGAGACCUACAGAGGAAAACAAGUUCAAAGACCAGCAACCUGAUGCAGUGAACUUUUUGGAGUUGCCACUAUAUAUGUCAUUUUUUGAAGCCUAUGCACUUGCUGUUUAUAAUGCUAUCGUAAUAGAUUUGAAGGUUGACAAGGAUCUAUUUUUGAGUUUCCUUAAGUUUUAUGGUGACCAGGACAUGUUGUGUUAAUGUAAUGGAAAUUGAGUUAAUCAAUUUGUUUGGCUAUAUGAGUUUUUCAUUC